UACGUAGGGUCCGAGCGUUGUCCGGAAUUAUUGGGCGUAAAGGGCUCGUAGGCGGUUCGUCACGUCGGGAGUGAAAACUCGGGGCUUAACCCCGAGCCUGCUUCCGAUACGGGCAGACUAGAGGUAGGCAGGGGAGAGCGGAACUCCUGGUGUAGCGGUGGAAUGCGCAGAUAUCAGGAAGAACACCGGUGGCGAAGGCGGCUCUCUGGGCCUUAACCUGACGCUGAGGAGCGAAAGCGUGGGUAGCGAACAGG
rnacentral:rRNA from 1 species